rnacentral:rRNA from 1 species
UACGGGGGGAGCAAGCGUUGUUCGGAAUUACUGGGCGUAAAGGGCUCGUAGGCGGCCAACUAAGUCAGACGUGAAAUCCCCAGGCUCAACCUGGGAACUGCGUCUGAUACUGGAUGGCUUGAAUUCGGGAGAGGGAUGCAGAAUUCCAGGUGUAGCGGUGAAAUGCGUAGAUAUCUGGAGGAAUACCGGUGGCGAAGGCGGGUCUCUGGGCCGUAACUGACGCUGAGGCACGAAGGUCAGGGGAGCAAACGGG